rnacentral:RNase_P_RNA from 1 species
AGCCGCCCUAUCGCCGGCAGCGCAAGCUGAAGGAGGAAAGUCCGGGCAGCAGAGAGUCGCCAUACUUCCUAACGGGAAGGGGCGCGCCGCGCAAGCGGCGCGCCACAGACAGUGCCACAGAAAAGAUACCGCUUGUGUCGACGGGGAGACCCGCGACAGCAAGCAAGGGUGAAAACGCGAGGCAAGAGCUCACGACGGGCACAGCGAUGUGCCUGAUGGCAAACCUUAUGGGCUGAAAGACCAAAUAUACCGGCAGUCAAGGGUUGACUCGCCCGUUGCCGGGGGGUAGGUUGAUGGAGGCAUCCGGUGACGGAUGUCCUAGAUUAAUGAUAGGGAGCCUCUUCUUGAAGCGGCUACAGAACCCGGCUUACAGGCUGUCG